rnacentral:rRNA from 1 species
UACAGAGGGGGCAAGCGUUGUUCGGAAUUACUGGGCGUAAAGGGCGCGUAGGCGGCCUGUUAAGUCGAACGUGAAAUCCCCGGGCUCAACCCGGGAACUGCGUCCGAUACUGGCAGGCUUGAAUCCGGGAGAGGGAUGCGGAAUUCCAGGUGUAGCGGUGAAAUGCGUAGAUAUCUGGAGGAACACCGAUGGCGAAGGCAGCCCCCUGGGCUAACACUGACGCUCAUGCACGAAAGCGUGGGGAGCAAACAGG